CUACGUGCCAGCAGCCGCGGUAAUACGGAGGGUGCAAGCGUUAAUCGGAAUUACUGGGCGUAAAGCGCACGCAGGCGGUCUGUCAAGUCGGAUGUGAAAUCCCCGGGCUCAACCUGGGAACUGCAUUCGAAACUGGCAGGCUAGAGUCUUGUAGAGGGGGGUAGAAUUCCAGGUGUAGCGGUGAAAUGCGUAGAGAUCUGGAGGAAUACCGGUGGCGAAGGCGGCCCCCUGGACAAAGACUGACGCUCAGGUGCGAAAGUGUGGGGAGCAAACAGGAUUAGAUACCCUGGUAGUCCACGCCGUAAACGAUGUCGACUUGGAGGUUGUGCCCUUGAGGCGUGGCUUCCGGAGCUAACGCGUUAAGUCGACCGCCUGGGGAGUACGGCCGCAAGGUUAAAACUCAAAUGAAUUGACGGGGGCCCGCACAAGCGGUGGAGCAUGUGGUUUAAUUCGAUGCAACGCGAAGAACCUUACCUACUCUUGACAUCCAGA
rnacentral:rRNA from 1 species